CAAGAUAGUAAACAUGACAUAAAUUUAAAACAAAAAAUGGCUGUCAAAAGUUUAUUUUCAAGAAGUGUUCUCAACCUCAGAAGAAGCCUACUGGGGUUCCAUGGAAGCUUUGAUUCAAGACUGAAGAUACCAAGCAGAUCUUUGUUGAUAGAAUUGACAGUGCUAAGCGUUUAAUUUUCUUGCUGCCAGAGGUUCAUUGGCCUUGGAAAACAUGAAAGUCUGGCAAACUGAUGUUGUUAUUGAAGAUGUGAACAUAAAACAACGAAGAGAAGAGUUGAAAGUCUGUAGGGAACACCUAGUGGGUUCGGGUAUCGUCCAAGCACCUCCUGAAGAACGGAAAUUGAUUGUACUAGUAUUGUCACUUUGAAGGACUAUACCCUCACUUGUUGACAGUCUUCCAGGCAUCAAACUAUGUAUAUAUAGAAAAUAAUCAAUUCAUCAACUUUCUACAAUGCACAAUGGCAUAGUCUUAAGUCUCAAUGCCGUCUAUUUAUAUGCAAGAAAGCAAGGAAAACUCUUUGGAAGAUAAUAGACAUAGCCUUUUACUGUACCUACAGACCUACCUGAGCAUUAUUUAUUUGUCACCAUUAUCAUAAAUUUUUAUUUUUGUCUUUUUGAUACUGGUAAAGAAGAAAACCCACCAGGAAUGUAUUCCCCUCCCUUGUGUAUUUUUUUAGUGUUCACUGUGUGUAUGAAUGGGUUCUGAGCGCUU